AGCACAGGUUUUUAUUUUUCUGCGAGUCAUUGAGGGCUUUAGCGCAGGUUUUUAUUUUUCUGUGAGCUUUUGAGCUUUAGCACAGGUUUUUAUUUUUCUGUGAGCUUUUGAGCUUUAGCACAGGUUUUUAUUUUUCUGUGAGCUUUUGAGCUUUAGCACAGGUUUUGUAUUUUUUCUGUGAGCUUUUGAGCUUUAGCACAAGUUUUUAUAAUUUCUGCGAGUCCUUAGGGCUUUAGCGCAGGCUUUAAUAAAUUGUUUUUAGAGCAAUUAGUCUUUAACAUCAUUCUAAAAAAAAAAAAAAAAAAUUUUUUAAUGACUGGACCGCCAUAAAUUUAUGUUUACUUACUUAAUGUGUGAAUAUAUCUUUUUAAAUAGCAUAAGCACUUAGGUUAUGAAAGAGGAAGAUAGAGAAAUUGUCUGUCUGGCAGUAAUUUGUCAUGGUCAUUAAUGCCAGAUGCAAGAUGCCUUGGAAGUAAGUUAGGGUCAUAAAACUUUGUUCAUGCUUAAUUCAGUACCCCUGCAGAGAUAUUGGUAUCAUCAAACAGGAUAAUAGUAACAUUGAACUGUGAAUUCUUUGAUGUAGGCAUUGAUAUACAUUCUCAUCCCUAAGAUGUCCAUGCUUUAUUGUAUUGCUAGCUAAUUACUUUAUCAGUAUGGUUAAGCAAAUGGAAGUAGAAUGAUCAUAAACAAUAAAAGAUAAAAAUAAAUAAUAAUGAUAAUAAAUAUUUAAAUACAAAAGUAAAUAAAUAAAAAAUGAAUACAUAUUAAACAAGUGAACAAAGUAUUAAAACUUAAUACAUAUCUAUAUAUGUAUAUAUUUUGUUAUAUAAGUAAAUAAUAAAAAAAAAAAAAAUAAUAAUAAUAAUAUAUAUAUAUAUAAUAAUAAUAAUAAUAGAUAAAAAAAAAAAACACAUAUAUAUAUAUAUAUAUAAGAAUCAUAAAAAUGUUAUUAAUUAAUAAUAGCCAGAAUUUUAAUGGGUGGUAUCUCUUAUAUGGCAACAUGAAAUUAAAAUGAUUAAAAACAUAAGCAUAUAUUAAUUACGAAUGAAAUAAAUUAUGGAUUUAUUCUUAUUAAGAAUUUAAAGUGUUACUAUUUUUAAUUUAAAUAUUUGCGGCAAAGGCCAUGCCUCCAGUGUCAUGUACCAGAUUAUAUUUAAUCUGGUACUAUUAUAAUAGUAGUCAGUUCCUAAUGAAUUGAUAUUUAAUGUUUCAGCGGCAAAGGCCUUGCCUCCAUGUCAUGUACCAGAUUAUUAUAUUAAUCUGGUACUAUUAUAAUAGUAGUCAGUGUUUUUGAUUUUGUUAUGAAUAACAAAACCUUAAAUAAAUAAAAUAUGGCAGUUUUAUUAUAAUUAUUAUUAUUUUAUUUUCGUAUCGACUGACCGUUAUACUUCAAUACAAUUACUACCGACAUACAUAUCCGCUAUGUAAAACAACAGUUAAGGAAAUAUACCUUUGAAAAUGAAUUUAUGUUUUUGUUUGAAAAACAAGGUACUUGUUCUCUCUCAUUUAUUUUACAGGAGAGCCUUGAAGAGAAUCUACAAACUUUGCAUACAGCUACUAGUAAAUACAAAAUUACGGAAGUACCAGUGUACGAGAUUAUACCACAAAAAACAUUAAAGAAGGACAUCCACAUACAGGGAAUAAUUAGUUGUUAUAAAGGAAAUAAAACCUAAACAUGACCACAAACAAUCUGACGGAUGGAAACACUUAGAUGACUGUUCUUACAUUCCAGCAUUUGGAAAAAAAAAAAAAAAAAAAAAAAAAAAAAAAAAAAAAAAAAAAAAAAAACAAAAACAAAAACGAUUUCUUCAAAAAUAAAACUGAUGCAAAAACAAACCGACUCCAAAUAUUUCAAUUUUUUAACAUUUCUUGAGUGUGAACCAUUUCAUAAAUCUUUCAUAUAAGUACAUGAUAAAAUACAUGAGGCACCUUGAGGAGUUUGACAAUUUUACAUAUCAUGUAUACAAUAUCAUUGGUGAGACUUUCUGGAUUACAACUUUAAGACUCUGACACCUGAUCUGUGAUAUCUUGUGAACUUUACCCACUGCUACCAUAUUGGGGUGUAUGGUAAUAAGUAGACAAUUCAUUUAGACAUAAAUUUAAAAGUCGAAAGAGUAUUAAUAACACACCUUUUUUUAUACUGACAAACUCAUAUUUUAUAGUGACUGAUUGUCAUAAUAACAUAAUAACAAUUUAGUUAAAUUUCAACAAAUGAAUUUUUUUUUGUAAUAUUAAUUAUUUGUUGGAAGUUCUCGUUGCGAUAUCGGCUACAAGUUACAUGCAAGUCUGAUAAUUUACAUAAUUUAGCAUAUACCAUUGCCUGCCUGCAAUGCAGAAAUGAUAAUCAUUACAAUAUUACAUAACACUGCUGAUAGUACUAUUGAACACAUGCAAUGUUAGUUGAUGGGUAAUCAAUAUCACUGUAGUGUAGCGUAGUUUAAGUACCUGUGUUAAUUAAUACCACAUGUAACAAAUCGUAUGGAUGAUUUUAUAGGCAUUUAAUAGGUCCAUUUGUUAGACUUAUCAAUCUGAAACUUACUUCUGAAGCAUUUAAAGAAUUAUAUUCAUUUAAUUCAGUACAACUGAAUUUAUAAGAUGGUAACGAUUAUGAAAAAUUACAAUCCUAGCGUGUGUUUAUUAUUAACGUCGAAAGUGUUAUUUACAUUAUAUGUUAUUCAUUUAAUCACGAGUUUCUUUAUAAAUUUUAGAAAUACUAUACAUUGUUAUUUUAACACAUAUUUGUUGAUAAAUAAAUGUGUUGUUUUAUUUACGACACCAUUUAAACAUAUUGUGAUGUAUUCUAAGUAUAUUAGCAAUAAUAUGCGUUAUUGACGUUAAAACAUUCCCUAAAUUGACUACGUAUGUAACACAGUGAUAUUGUGUCUAUAACACAUUUCUAAUUUGCAGCAUCAUUGUGUAUGUUUAAUAUGAGAUGCUAGAAUGAAAGAUAUAACUUUUUGGUUGAAAUUGAUUUAAUUUGACAACAUUGUCAAGAUUUAUGCAUUAACGAUUUACAAGUUAAUAGAUUUUAAUCUAAUAGAGUGAAUAUGUGAGCAUUAAGAUAAUCCCAGUUUACGACACUAGCUUAACAUAUGGGGGUGUAUAUUAACUACAUGUAUGUGUUGUUUAAAUAUUAAUUAUACUGUAUACAUUAAUUAUAAAAUUAUAUUGUAUUUUAUUUUCAAACUAUGCAUCCUGUACCUAAUAAAUAUGUUGUUAUGAGACAGUACUUGUUUAGAUAUUAGUUUAACAUAUUGGGGUGUAUGUUAAAUAUGUAGUGUUUAAAUGUUAAUUAAUUUUAACUUGUAAAUUGAAUUAACAAUUACCUAAAGUUUGUAUGUUCUUUUCGAACUAUGCAUUCACUUAAGGAAUAAAAUGUCUUAAUAAAUUAAAUCACAGUUAGACUAGUUUAACAUAUUGAAGUAUAUGUUAACUAUGUAUUGCUUAAAUGUUAAUUAUAGCUUAUAUAUUGAAUUUAGUUUAUCAGUUUAACAAAUCAAAAUGUUUUUGUAGUUUAACGCACAAGAGUGAUAAUAAACUAUGUAUAAAUAACACGUUAAUCCUAACUUUAUUUUGAACUUCAUGUUUACUUAAGAACAGUUUGUGAUAAAUAUACAUUGAUAAGAUGAGAUAAGAUAAGAUAAGAUCUGUUUAUAGUGACUCUAAUUUUAACAUUCUUGGUUUUUCAAGAACAAUACUAAUAGUGAUAGUAAGUGUAUUUUUAUAUGUAUAUACUUUUAUAUGUAGACAACAAGAUUUUUCAUAAUUAUCUAUAUUUUUGUCUGUAAAUUGUAAAGUAAUCUUUAUGUCACAAUUCGUUUUAUUAGUAACCAUCACCAAUUUCUUUAAGAUAUGUUUUUCAAGCUUAUACUGUAACGUUAAUUAAUCUGUUCUAUAUGUCUAGAAUUUACAACUGAUUAUUUUAUAUGUCUGAAAUAUACAACUGUAUAUUUCUUUGAUCUUAUGACAGCACAAUAACAGCAGGAGGCGCGCAAAUCGUACACUUUUGGACUUUUACCUAUAUAAGUUUCCUUUUGUUUUUGUUUUACUUUCUAAUUUUGCAUAUUAUCAUUUUGUACUCAAAAUGCAUUAACUUAACUUUUAUGUUUAGCAGCCUACUUACUUGAAGUAAAGGGUUUGUAAAAUAUUUUUCAAGGAUGUAGCCCUACAUCAAGUGGUACUAGACACAAGAUAAAAGGGCACAGGUUUCCAGACUAUGGUUUUUCCUGGGCGAGUCGACCACGAUUUGAAAAAUAUUUAUGAUCAGUAGUUUAUAUGAUAUAUACAAUAUCUUUAUAUACAAUAUUAUAUAUACAAUAUCUAUAUUUUUACAUACAUGUGUAAAUGUGGGUGUUUUUGUUGUCCAACUUUGUGUCAUUUUUAUAAAGUUUGUUACAAUUGUUGGUUUUUGUUGUUCGACUUUGUGUCAUCUAUUAUAAUGUUUACUACAAUUGUUUUCUAUAUAAAAGCGUAUUUGGAGUUUAUUGGUUAAUCUUUUGAUUAUAUCAUAAUCUAUUAUUAGACAAUAAAGACGGCCGGUAUCAUGCUGAACAUUGUUUAUAAUGAUGCAAAGACUUUAUUGUUAACUAAUUUAAAGACUUUUAGUUGCUGGUGUAAUCUGGACCAAUCCAUUAUUAAAAUUGUUAAUACCAUUAUUAAAAUUGUUAAUAUUUUUGUGGCAUAUCGAUCUAGGCAGUCAACACAUAAUGUCAACAUUUUAAUUUGUACAUAAUGAACAUCACUUGCUUGGGCUGGUGACAAUAGUUAUAACAUUGUGUGUAUAUAUAUUCGGGUCACUUGCUGGGGCUUGUGACAAAUGAUAUGUUUGAUUAUUAUUUCAUUAAAUAUCAUAGGUUGGUUAGCUUCAGUUAAAAAAAAAAAAAAAAAAAAAAAAAAAUAA